GUGCUUGCUUUAGCAGCAUAUAUACUAAAGUUAGAAUGAUACAGAGGAGAUUUGCAUGGUCCCUAUGUGAGGAUGACAUGCAAAUUUGUGAAGCAUUUCAUAUUUUU
ensembl:snRNA U6 U6 spliceosomal RNA